rnacentral:rRNA from 1 species
CCUACGGGGUGCAGCAGUAGGGAAUUUUCGUCAAUGGGCGCAAGCCUGAACGAGCAAUGCCGCGUGAACGAGGAAGGUCUUCGGAUCGUAAAGUUCUGUUGAAGGGGAAAAAGAGCGGAGAGAGGAAAUGGUCUCCGAUUGAUAUUACCCUUCGAGGAAGUCACGGCUAACUACGUGCCAGCAGCCGCGGUAAUAGGUAGGUGGCGAGCGUUAUCCGGAAUGAUUGGGCGGAAAGGGUGCGUAGGCGGCCUGCUAAGUCUGGAGUGAAAGGUACCGGCUCAACCGGUACAGGCUCUGGAAACGGGCGGGCUAGAGAGCAGGAGAGGGCGGUGGAACUCCAUGUGUAGCGGUAAAAUGCGUAGAUAUAUGGAAGAACACCAGUGGCGAAGGCGGCCGCCUGGCCUGUUACUGACGCUGAGGCACGAAAGCGUGGGGAGCAAAUAGGAUUAGAUACCCGAGUAGUC